GUGUUGACUGAUGGGCAAUAGGAAAAUCGUCAUCCUUGCCGGUGGCCUCUUGGGAACGCCUCUUGUAGGGUCUUCCAUGUCUGGAUGGUAUGGCUUUAGACACCCCACAUGGAAGACAGGGUGGAUCUUUAGCUUGGGAAGAAGCUGAAGUUUUUAGUAAACUUGUCCUACUUUCUGUAUGAUAGGGAAUGUCCCCUCAUACUUGCGGCUGACCUCCUUACUCAAAAAGAAGGAAAGAUUUUUUGCAAGAGUUGAUUUUUUUUUUAUCUUCCUUCCGCUUGGAAAUUU